rnacentral:rRNA from 1 species
GACGAACGCUGGCGGCGUGCUUAACACAUGCAAGUCGAGCGGAAAGGCCCUUUCGGGGGUACUCGAGCGGCGAACGGGUGAGUAACACGUGAGUAAUCUGCCCCUGGCUUUGGGAUAGCCACCGGAAACGGUGAUUAAUACCGGAUACGACCACUUCUCGCAUGGGAUGGUGGUGGAAAGUUUUUCGGCCAGGGAUGUGCUCGCGGCCUAUCAGCUUGAUGGUGAGGUAAUGGCUCACCAUGGCUUCGACGGGUAGCCGGCCUGAGAGUGGUGACCGGUCACACUGGGACUGAGACACGGCCCAGACUCCUACGGGAGGCAGCAGUGGGGAAUAUUGGACAAUGGGCGGAAGCCUGAUCCAGCAACGCCGCGUGAGGGAUGACGGCCUUCGGGUUGUAGACCUCUUUCAGCAGGGACGAAGCGCAAGUGACGGUACCUGCAGAAGAAGCACCGGCCAACUACGUGCCAGCAGCCGCCGCGG